rnacentral:rRNA from 1 species
UACGGAGGAUGCGAGCGUUAUCCGGAUUUAUUGGGUUUAAAGGGUGCGUAGGCGGGCUUUUAAGUCAGCGGUAAAAAUUCGGGGCUCAACCCCGUCCGGCCGUUGAAACUGGGGGUCUUGAGUGGGCGAGAAGAAGGUGGAAUGCGUGGUGUAGCGGUGAAAUGCAUAGAUAUCACGCAGAACCCCGAUUGCGAAGGCAGCCUUCCGGCGCCCUACUGACGCUGAGGCACGAAAGUGCGGGGAUCGAACAGG